rnacentral:sRNA from 1 species
GCGAGGCCGAGCUCGCCAGUCGGAGGUGUCACCUGUUCUUCCCUGUUGCGUUCGGCACUGACUGGGGAGUUUGUAUCUGGGCAAAAAAUGGAAACUUUUUAAAAAGACUGCUCUUACCGCGUGAGAGUGAGUGACUUUUUCUCCACCAGGGCUUAAUUAGGUGCUUGAAGUUCCUCAGAAAAGCCAAGCCAGGGUUUAUUUUCAGAGUUCAUACAAGUACUUCACGUGGUUAAAGAAGCCCAUCCCGGCUGUGAGAAUAGCGUGGAGUAGCUUGCGCGUUAAGAACGGGCAGAACGCCACUCAAAAGCACGUCGGGAUGGUGGGUUUCGGAUUGGGGUACAGUAUAUCAGAAGUAUGAGCCGAUCUUUUUCCAGUCCAUUGGAAAUCCAUUUAUUUUUAGAUGCCUGGAUGGGGUACUCAUUGAUGGGAAUGACAAAGGGAUAUCAAAAGUUGUGUACAGAUCUUGCAACGGGAGGGAUCGACUCGGCCCUUUAAAAAUGAGUGACAGUACAUGGUUAACAUCAGAAAUUCAUAACCCUCUGGCUGUGGGACAGUAUGUCAACAAUUGUUCCAAUGACAGAGCAGCUAACGUCUGUUAUCAGGAAUUUGAUGUGCCUGCAGUUUUCCCUAUAGAACUGAAGCAGUACCUUCCAAACAUUGCCUACAGCUAUGACAAACAUAGCCCACUUCGAUGUGUUGUUCUUGUCGCACUUAGGGACAUCAAUCAAGGAGAAGAGCUUUUUUCAAACUACUACACAAUUGUCAGCUAACUGUGAAUCAGAAAU